rnacentral:rRNA from 1 species
UACGUAGGGUGCGAGCGUUAAUCGGAAUUACUGGGCGUAAAGCGUGCGCAGGCGGUUCGUUGUGUCUGAUGUGAAAGCCCCGGGCUUAACCUGGGAAUGGCAUUGGAAACUGGCGAGCUUGAGUGUGGCAGAGGGGGGUGGAAUUCCGCGUGUAGCAGUGAAAUGCGUAGAGAUGCGGAGGAACACCGAUGGCGAAGGCAGCCCCCUGGGCCAACACUGACGCUCAGGCACGAAAGCGUGGGGAGCAAACAGG